rnacentral:rRNA from 1 species
GAUGAACGCUGGCGGCGUGCCUAAUACAUGCAAGUCGAGCGAAUGGAUUAAGAGCUUGCUCUUAUGAAGUUAGCGGCGGACGGGUGAGUAACACGUGGGUAACCUGCCCAUAAGACUGGGAUAACUCCGGGAAACCGGGGCUAAUACCGGAUAACAUUUUGAACCGCAUGGUUCGAAAUUGAAAGGCGGCUUCGGCUGUCACUUAUGGAUGGACCCGCGUCGCAUUAGCUAGUUGGUGAGGUAACGGCUCACCAAGGCAACGAUGCGUAGCCGACCUGAGAGGGUGAUCGGCCACACUGGGACUGAGACACGGCCCAGACUCCUACGGGAGGCAGCAGUAGGGAAUCCUCCGCAAUGGACGAAAGUCUGACGGAGCAACGCCGCGUGAGUGAUGAAGGCUUUCGGGUCGUAAAACUCUGUUGUUAGGGAAGAACAAGUGCUAGUUGAAUAAGCUGGCACCUUGACGGUACCUAUCCAGAAAGCCACGGCUAACUACGUGCCAGCCGCCGCCGUAA